rnacentral:lncRNA from 1 species
UGUUAGAAUAAUUUGUAUGUGUUAGGAAAAUGACUUAACUGUUCCACUCUAAAAUUAUAGAAUAGGGUGAUAUGUUUAAGAAUAAUGGGAAGAUAAAAUCAGGAUAUGGGGAGAUCGGUUAGGAUUGUAAAACUUUGAGGUGAUAUUCUUUAGUAGGGAUGUAAACUGAGUGAAGUUGUAGAUUAGGUAAAAGAAAAACAUUGGAGAGGUUUCAAACCAAGAGGGUCAUAAAGGGGGAGGGGAGGUGAAAGCCUUGAAGAAUGUGGCAAACUUUAUGGUUCUUUGUGGUGAGUGGAAAAGCACUGGUUGUUUGAGAAGGGAGUGGUCUAAAGAUAGGAAUAUGUGUGUGUAUUAUAAAAGGACUGAGUCCUAAUUCUCUGAAUAAACUACAGAUCUUUCGCAGAAAGCUGAGUCCUUGCCUAAUUAUUAUUAACCCAGUGUCUUACAAACCUUGGGGAUUAGUCAAGGCUUAUUGAUUGUUAAUUAUUAUCAUUGGGAUUUGAAAAUUCCCUUAACAAUUGGUCCUUCGAGCAGAUCUCAUAUACUUGUUGACUGUCGUUCCAGGGGACACUGAAAACCGUGCACGGGCGGAUGAAUCAUCCGUAAAAAACAAAGUCCUGCCCUCUAAUAAUCGAGGGUUCAUUUCAGGCCGGUGGUGAACUGGAAAACGACAGUAAACGGUGACGAGACCUAACCAAAAUUAUACCUCAGCUGCAAAGAAAAGAAAGCCGAGGCCAUAAAAGAGAUUACUCCCACCUUUGAAGACUUGGCAGAGGGGGGUGUAAUUAGAGAAAGUGAUGCAUAGUGCAAUUCUCCAAGGUUUUGGCAAAGAGAGCAGCCCCAGUUGGGAAUUCUUCCACAAGAGGAAUGGUAACCACUUCUGGUAAACCUAUUACACAUGCUCAGGUGAUUUUGAACUUAUUAGAUGCUGUACAGCUGCCAGAAAAGAUAGCAAUUUGUAAGUGUGAAGCUCACUCUAAGGGAACGAAUGAAAUUAGCAAUGGCAACAGAAAGGCAGAUGAAGAAGCGAAGAAGGCAGGCCUUAAACCACAGACUCCCACACGGCAAUAUUUGAAAGAGGAAGUGAGCAUAGAUAAAACCCUACUAAAAGAUAGUCAGUCUAGAGCACCAGUAAAGGAAAUUUCUAAAUGGGAAAAAAAUUAGGUGUGGUAAAUAAAGAUGGUAUUUGGUAUCAGGGUAAUUUACCUAUAUUACCAAAGUCUCUGUUUAGGUAUGCAGCUAUGUUGAUACAUGGGCAGAGCCAUGUAUCAACGGGGGGAUGAUGGAAAUAAUUAGGAAACACUUUGUAGCAUACGGAAUUAAAAAUGACUUUAAAAUAUUUUUGUACAAGAUGUGUUAUAUGUGCAUAGAAUAAUCAUCAAGGUAGAGGAAGAGCACCACUGGGAGAAUAACCCCCAGGUAGAAUAUCCAUUCCAACAAUUAGAAAUGGACUUCAUUGAUAUAUGUUAUAACCUAUUCCGGAGUGAGGGAAAGAAGGGUGUUUAGCAAUAAUAGAUAAGAAUAGUAAAUGGGUAGAAGCGCUCUCAACUUACUUGGUGGACAUGAUUAUGGUAGCUAAAAAAAUAGGAUAGAUAUUAUCCCUAGAGUUGGUUUACUAGGAUCUAUUUCUUUAAGCAAUGGAUUAUAUUUCAGCUAAUCAGGUAGACCAUAUAGAAAUGCCAGAGUUAGAGAGACCACAACAGAUAGACAUAGAAGUUGAAGAUAUACUAGCAAAACACAUGAGAAGACUGUUUGUUAACCAAAUCCACAUGUCCAAGAUUUUGUGUCCAACAGGUGAAUUACAGGAGAAGGUGAUUCAUGCAAUAUAGCUUGGAGACUGGGUGUGGAUCCAGUCCCUGAGGAGAAAAGACUGGAAACAGCCCCGUUGGGAAGGACCCUACCAGGUUCUGUUAACUACCGCCUUUGCCAUUAGAAUAGCUGAGAGAGCCACUUGGGUCUACGUUACCCACUGCAAGAAGGUAGGAACACAUACAAGCACUGCUGAUCACACACAGAGUUAGGAGAAGAACCGAGUACCAAUAGGGUUCGGGGGUUACCUCCUUAACGAAGAUUCCCUAACCCGACCUGUCAUCACUGUGUGUGUUCCUAGAGUGUGAGUAUGGGGUGGUUCCGGGCAGAUAGGCUGCAGGCAGGAGAGGGUUGGUGAUUUUUGGGAAUAUGGGGGGGACCCUAAACUGCAUCAUAGUACUAAUAAUAUUCUUGAUACAUCCAGAUCCACCAUCAGUAGGCAUAAAUCGUACCGAAUCUCUACCAGGGUUGAGAAGCAAAAGACAAACUACUCAAAGUAAGGACAGGCAAGGAAGACUAACAUAUAAAAUAGGGGUUAGAGAAGAACAAAACGCGAGAUUCAGGAUGAGGGUACUAAAUAUGACUAACGGACGACAACACCCCCUUAUACCUGUGUCAACCAACUAGGUCUAUGUGUUCCUGGUCACAGGUGUUUAAACACACAUGGGGCAGGGAAUAUGAGACUAAUAUCUGGAAAUGGAGUGCACGGUGGGGUGUUGAACGGAAUAACUAUACAAAUGUAACUAUACAAAAUGUGACUAGGAAUGACAUGCAAAUUAAGUAUAUGGCAUGCGCUGAUGAGUAGGGCAAGGAUACCUGCAUAUCAUUUCAGUUGACAGACACUACAGGAAAAUACACCGUAGUAAAUCCGUUAUUAGGAAUUGCUAAUUCAGGUGGAAAAUCCAUUAGUCUACCUGAUGUGAAGGACUUCCUUCUCCAAGAAAGGAACCAAGGGGAGAUAGAAGGAAUACCAGAUGAAAAUCUGGUUAAGAUGGAUGAAUUAUACGGCCAGGGCUCUGGGCCAAACCAAUUGUUAUGCAUGCUCUACUGGGUGACCAACUAUGUUGACGGCUCCAAUGCCACAGACUAUGCUCUCUUGUGUGUUAGACUUAGGAUCUAAUCAGGAGGAGGUGAACUGUACAGGAAUGGGGUUGGCCAGAUUAAAGAGUGCAGCCAAUCCACUUCAGUUCACUCUAACUCCUGGAGAGUAUCAGUGUUAUAGACACAGGAAUGGCAGUAGGGAUUUGGGAGAUUUUAAUGGAGGUAAGACAGUAGUGAAUGUGACAGACUUAGAAGUGCAGGAGAAGAUUCUUAACCUUACAGCACCUAUAACUGAUGUAUGGUGGGCAUGUUCCGACCAAGGACGCAUAAGGCAGAUGUUACCAAAAGGGUGGGUAGGUACUUGCGCCCCAGUGUUAUUGGUACAAUCAGUGAGGAUUAGUCAUCAAAGGCCAGUGGUGAGUAAAAUAGUAAGAAAUAAGAGAAGUCUGGUCCUAGAUGAGGGUAGCCCCAUUCCAUUGGGAUCCCUAGAGGAGUACCAGAUGAAUACAAGGCGUUGAAUCAAAUAGGUGAAGGGUUCACAACUACUUUUUUUUGGUGGGUUACGAUAAAUAAGAAUGUGGAUUGGAUAAACUAUAUCUAUUAUAAUCAACAAAGAUUUGUAAAUCAGACUAGAGAUGCAGUGAAGGGAAUCUCUGACCAAUUAUCCGCCACCUCUCUCAUGACUUGGCAAAAUAGGUUGGCUCUCGAUAUGUUAUUGGCAGAGAAGGGCGGGGUUUGUAGAAUGGUGGGGGGUCAUUGCUGUACUUUUAUUCCAAAUAAUACAUCACCAGAGGGGACUGUAACUAGAGCCUUGGCUGGGUUGACCGCACUAAGUGAUGAACGGGCUGAGAACUUAGGGGUUAAUACAUCUGUGAUCGGAUGGUUUGAUGAAAUGUUUGGCAAAUGGAAAACCAUAGUAGCUACUAUUGUGGGGGCUGCUAUUGUUUGUAUGGGUAUGCUGGUAUUAUGUGGUUGUUGUUUUAUUCCCUGUGUCCGAGGUUUGGUGAGUAAGGCGUUGGAGAAUGCAGUGACUCAAAAGAUGGUGAGGUACGGGCCCAUCGCAGAGUCUGACCAAUUGAAUGAACGAGAUACAGAUCUAGACCUGAUGGACACCGCUGAUACAUUCAAUCCUGAGGAGCCAGAACUUAAUGAGACGAUUUUCAAUGUUUAGAGACUGUUUAUUCAAUGAAGAUCAUGAUGAUAAUCCUGAACAGAAGAGUUAGGAUUGGUAGUAGUAGUAAACAGCCAUUGAUGAGUAGAUGAUGUAUAUACAUUUAAUGGUUUGAUUUGGUAUGAUUUUAUUGUUUAAUAAAAAUUGAAGUAUCAGAGUGUAACAUUUAGUCAAAGGGUGGAUUUGUAUGUGUUAGGAAAAUGACUUAACUAUUCCACUCUGAAAUUAUAGAAUAGGGUGAUAUGUUUAAGAAUAAUGGGAAGAUAAAAUCAGGAUAUGGGGAGAUCGGUUAGGAUUGUAAAACUUUGAGGUGAUAUUCUUUAGUAGGGAUGUAAACUGAGUGAAGUUGUAGAUUAGGUAAAAGAAAAACAUUGGAGAGGUUUCAAACCAAGAGGGUCAUAAAGGGGGAGGGGAGGUGAAAGCCUUGAAGAAUGUGGCAAACUUUAUGGUUCUUUGUGGUGAGUGGAAAAGUACUGGUUGUUUGAGAAGGGAGUGGUCUAAAGAUAGGAAUAUGUGUGUGUAUUAUAAAAGGACUGAGUCCUAAUUUUUGACUUUAGAACGGGACUGAGUCCUAUUUUUUUACUUUCUCUGAAUAAACUGUACAGACCUUUUGCAGAAAGCUGAGUCCUUGCCUAAUUAUUAUUAACCCAGUGUCUUACAAACCUUGGGGAUUAGUCAAGGCUUAUUGAUUGUUAAUUAUUAUCAUUGGGAUUCGAAAAUUCCCUUAGCAGGCAGUCACCCUCCCCUAGAUGCAGCCAAACCAUCCUUGUUCCUACACUUGCUCAGUUAAGAGAG